GAUGCCACUAGAGUCAUUGCAGAUGUGGCUGCUGUGUCACAUGUGCAUCAUUUAGUGGCAGAGAGGAGAGAGGCUAUGUCUAGCCUCAGCUAAUGAUUAGUAGCCUAUCACU
ensembl:snoRNA Gm25866 predicted gene, 25866